CGUGGUACUUGAUUACGGAAGCCCUAGCUGACUGAUACACAUUACCAAAGAAUGGAACGGAAGAGAUGCAUUCCAGGAACGUCUUCGAGUCAGAAUCAGGGAUUCUUGGGGAAUGCGGUAAGGAGGGAUGUGGGAGAGGGCAAAGCUAAGGAUGACUGAAGUUUUUUGCCUCAGUCUCCUGGCUGGAUGGAUGAGGGGCUGGUAACUGUGAACUGCAAUAGAGGAGAAGGUUGCAUUGUCCAGUAGUCAUCUCAUGUGUGUCUCCCCUUCAGCAAGCCUGGAAGUCCCUAGGAUGGGGGACUUCCUAGUGAAGGGCCAGACUAGUGUAUUGCUUUUAAAGUCCAUGCAGAUUAAAGGGGACUUGAUUUAGUUGAUUCAGUUUAUCACUGGUAAUAUUAUUAAUUACUCGAUUGACAAUGAUAGAAUCUCUUACAUAGCUCUGGAAAAAUGUUUACAAAUUAAAACUAUAUUGUCCUAGGCUUCCUUCCCCAGAGAAUGUGGAAUGUACAGUACUCCCAUCCUCAGGCUGUUUGAGUGGACUCAGUGGCUGAAUCACCCCAGCAAGAGUCUCUGGGGCUUCAUGAAACAGGGUGGUGUCCUGCUUCCUGGGAAAGACAAGACACCCCUCACCAUGGAAAGCAUCCCUACCAUUUCCUGUUCCCACUCAGACAUCAAAGUUGAUGGAUUUCGGAUAAAGAACCCUAUCUUUCUUCUUAUGACAACUUAUGUGGACCAUUGUGAAGGUCAUGGAAAGAUGAUGGAAUUUAAAGCAGCACUGAGACACUGCU